rnacentral:rRNA from 1 species
UACGUAGGCAGCAAGCGUUGUUCGGAAUUACUGGGCGUAAAGAGUGUGUAGGCGGCGCUCUAAGUUCGGUGUGAAAUCUCCCGGCUUAACUGGGAGGGUGCGCCGGAAACUGGAGUGCUCGAGCGUGGGAGAGGAAAGCGGAAUUCCUGGUGUAGCGGUGAAAUGCGUAGAUAUCAGGAGGAACACCUGCGGUGUAGACGGCUUUCUGGACCAUUGCUGACGCUGAGACACGAAAGCGUGGGUAGCAAACAGG